UACGUAGGGGGCAAGCGUUGUCCGGAAUCAUUGGGCGUAAAGCGCGUGUAGGCGGCCCGAUAAGUCCGCUGUGAAAGUCCAGGGCUCAACCCUGGAAUGCCGGUGGAUACUGUCGGGCUCGAGUCCGGAAGAGGCGAGUGGAAUUCCUGGUGUAGCGGUGAAAUGCGCAGAUAUCAGGAGGAACACCGAUGGCGAAGGCAGCUCGCUGGGACGGUACUGACGCUGAGGCGCGAAAGCCAGGGGAGCGAAUGGG
rnacentral:rRNA from 1 species